ensembl:snoRNA small nucleolar RNA SNORD35
UGCAAAUGAUGUUUUUUCUCACGAUGGUCUUCCAAGUCUUUCAGGCUCUGACGACACUGCCUUAUGGCAUUACUGAUGCAGCAGA